GGCAGGGACAGAAAGAGACGGAGAAAGAAAGAGACGGAGAGGCGGAGAGAGGGGUCUCGCCCGCAGACGGAAAUGGACGCGCCUCAGCUCGAGAGGGAUGCCGGGGGCAGGCGCGAGUCAGGCCUGGUGACCCUCGCUGAGUCCCGCCCGGCCCAGCGCCUGGCUCGUGUUACCCCCGGGGUUUCUCACGCCCCCCCCUCACGGGUCGGAAGCAGGUGCCCGCGCGCCAGUGCCUGUCCCCUCCCCCCUCCGUCCCUCGGACCCGGGUCAACGGCCUCUCGUCGCUCCGUCUCCUUCGGGUGGUUACCCCCCAGGAGCAGAGGGCCCGGAUGUCCUCGGGGCCCCACGCCUGUACCAUCCCCAGUCGAGAGGUCUCAAGUGCGCGGAGCCUGAAGGGGACCCAGAGGAACGGUUGUCACCAGUCACUUUAAGGGCCCCAGGAGGGCGGCGAGAGGGCAGGAUCCCACGCCUGGCAAUCACUGUUCCCGCCUGGAACAUCACGUCGCCCUUAAAGUCUGCAAUUGCGGGACAAGGGAGCACCUGCGGGACAAGGGCACCCCCCCCGCCCAGCCCCCUGGGCAGUGGCAGGUGAUUUCUGGCAGCUUCUCCCAGCGGACCUGGGCUAGGACACACGGAAUUCAGGAAGGGCAGUGGGCGCGUGGGGUCCCCAGCAGGCUGCGUGGUUUUCACCCCAGCCGGGGCCGGUGGGGCCGGGUCCGUGGGCCCUGCUCAGGGCUGAGCUCAGGGGCGCUCCCCUCCUUCCCUGGCCGACGGGAGUGAGACUCGAGGCCUGUCGGGCCGGGCACAGGUCGGAACGGGCUGUGAGAAACCAACAGAACUCGGCGACCGGCUCACAGUAAGCACCCGACGAACGGAAGCUUUUAUCAUCUGCAAUUCUAGCACAAGGGGUGGGCAUGCGACCUACUUCCAGACAAGGAAAUGCAGAAGAAAAUCUACUAAGGGGCUUCCGGCAGAGAGCGUCACCCCCAGAAUAAAGAGAAAUUCACCAAAGAGAAGAUUCUUUGGCGUCGACCCCUUUUUUCCUGUUUGGAAUAUCUCGUAAGAAGAACGUGAUGCUUGGAGCUACGGCAGCCCUCCUGCGACCACGAGGACGGCAAAGCAGAAAGACGGGCACAGGGUCAGAAGAUACCAAUCGUUGCCUCACUGAGGGUUUAGAGCAACCUCCAGCCUGGAGUUAGUUCUCCAGGGGACUCAGAUCCAUGGAGUCUCUGAAUUUCCCCCUUGCAAGUUCUGGGAGCAGGGGCAGGACUGCUGGCUGCUGGCAGAGUUUUAAGAAGCUUCAGCAAAGCAGAGAAGCAUUAAUGGACUUUAUCACUUUGUCAAGAACUUAAAAUUGCAGUCAUUUACACGACUUCAUUUUAAUUGCUGCAAUAAAUAAUUUUUGGUUAAUUAGGAUGCAUAAACUUAUAUAUCAUUUAUUAACAAAAUUAAUUCUCAGUAAAAAUUGACGUGUUUUGCCUUUGGGCACACUCUGUAGUCUUUGGAAACUCUAAAGAAUAAACAAUGACACAAAUACCAAGAGGAGGCAGCCUACAGACACAACUGAACAGUGUUUCUAACUGAACAAGUGCCUAAGUCUGGCACUGUGUUGGUGCAAAGGAGCCACAAACAGGGGAGAGCAGAGACCCAAUGACAGCAAGAACUCUCUCUGGGAGUAACACAAGGGACCUUGCAGCUGCGUUUGUGUCUUCUUAUCAUUUGCCAACUGUGUGCCUUUGUGCAAGCUACUUAACCUCUCUGUGCCUCACUUCCUCAUCUGCAACACGUGUCCUGAUAGGACCUCCCUCGUGAAGGUGUUGUUAGGAUUUGCAAGAAAAGGACCCCAAGGGACACAAGUGCCUUUCGGUGACUUGGCAUCGAUUUCUUUCUUCUAGUAACCCAAACCUGCUGUUCCUGGAGGAUCUGAUUCCUUUUUCUCGGUCUGACUGGGGCUGACAGCCCAGAUCUUUAGGAAGGACCCUAAAUCUCAACCCUAAAUCGGUCAGCAUAACCCUGACCACAGUGACUGGCUGAGGGAUGACCAUGGGACCCAGGCUGUCCAAUCAGAGCUAAUUCCAAGAAUUCCUGGAGAGACAGGGGACAUUCUUUUCCACCGGGAGCCUGGGACAUCGGGAGCCACCGGGAGCUGAGUCUCGGCACCAGCGUAAGAAGCAGAGCCAAGAGAGUCCUCAUAGUUCCAUGAUGACGCUGGAGGUGCUGGAUCCAGCCAUGCCUGAAGGUAGAAUGCCCCUUGGUCUUUCAGAUAUGCGAGCCAAUGACAUCCGAUCUGGGCUUAAGCUGGUCUGAAGUUUUCUUUCCACGGGCAACCGAAAUACUCUUAACCAAUAAAAAAUACUUAGAACGAUGCCAGGUUCGUGGUAGCACUCGAUCACUGUCAACUAACCAUACAGGAGGCAAAACGAGCCAACCUUGACUCUUA